UCCAUAUAUAGCCGUACUUUUAGUCUUCGUAGGCAGUGAUCGUUCGUUCACCAAUGUGAAAUUAGUUAAACACAAGAAUUUUUUUUCUGUAAACUCGAUUAAACUUCCAAGUAAAAAUGAAAAUGAUUCCGAUCGUUGUCGCCGUUUUGCUGCACCAGAUGUCAGUCAUAUAUGCCGACGAUGCUGAACCAUGUGGUGAAUGCCUUGUGGACCUACAAGAGUUUGACCUUAUUUCUGCUCAAUGUCAAAAAGAAGCUAAAAACAACCCAAACGUAAUACGGGAAAACGUUAAUUCAUAUAACGAACAAUUGGCUUUACUCAGUGGCUCAUGUACUAGUAACGAGAGUCAAAAAAUUAUCGAUAAUGCCCAAAAAGGCGGUGAUGACGUUGGCAUACAAUCCGAACAAACGAAUGCAGGUGCUGGAAUGACAAUCGAUCGAAUAAACGUGUCUGCAUUGCAUUGAGGCUAUUGAUUAAAUUCGCUACUCGAGCUAUAUCAGAACUAUUAGAGUGUCAACGAAACGCCCAUGAUGACCUCUCUUCUCUAGUUGAAAAAUCAACGUGCGCUCUUGCCAACAUUUCUCCAGAAAAAGUAAGUGAUGUAAUUAACAAAAAUAGUGUCACACUGCAAGCUAUUGCCCUCUGUCAGGCAGAUAAAUUUGAGGAAUGUAAAAACAUAGCAUUUCGGCCAAUUCAACGGCAAAUAAGUAAUCUUAUGAAGGCUCUUAAAUCCUGCUAGACAGGUAUCAUUGACGCCUUCGUGAGUGUGAUCACCUAUUCUUACAGAACCUUGAAUAAAAUUUCUGAUUUUUUGAUCG